rnacentral:rRNA from 1 species
GACGAACGCUGGCGGCGUGCUUAACACAUGCAAGUCGAACGCUGAAGCCCAGCUUGCUGGGUGGAUGAGUGGCGAACGGGUGAGUAACACGUGAGUAACCUGCCCCCUUCUUUGGGAUAACGCCCGGAAACGGGUGCUAAUACUGGAUAUUCACUGAUCUUCGCAUGGGGGUUGGUGGAAAGGUUUUUUCUGGUGGGGGAUGGGCUCGCGGCCUAUCAGCUUGUUGGUGGGGCGAUGGCCUACCAAGGCUUUGACGGGUAGCCGGCCUGAGAGGGUGACCGGUCACAUUGGGACUGAGAUACGGCCCAGACUCCUACGGGAGGCAGCAGUGGGGAAUAUUGCACAAUGGGCGAAAGCCUGAUGCAGCGACGCCGCGUGAGGGAUGACGGCCUUCGGGUUGUAAACCUCUUUCGCUCAUGGUCAAGCCGCAGCUUUGGGUUGUGGUGAGGGUAGUGGGUAAAGAAGCGCCGGCUAACUACGUGCCAGCAGCCGCGGUAAUACGUAGGGCGCGAGCGUUGUCCGGAAUUAUUGGGCGUAAAGGGCUUGUAGGCGGUUGGUCGCGUCUGCCGUGAAAUCCUCUGGCUUAACUGGGGGCGUGCGGUGGGUACGGGCUGACUUGAGUGCGGUAGGGGAGACUGGAACUCCUGGUGUAGCGGUGGAAUGCGCAGAUAUCAGGAAGAACACCGGUGGCGAAGGCGGGUCUCUGGGCCGUUACUGACGCUGAGGAGCGAAAGCGUGGGGAGCGAACAGG